GGAUAAUCAAAAUCAACAAUUCAAAGGGGUACGUGGUCGUGAAAUAUGGAGUUGUCGGAGCAACUUCGCAAGACAACUCAUGCCAACAAUCUCCACUCCUGUAACCCCAGGCAACUCUGUUGUGGUGAGGCUAUUACCUCACAGUGAGGUUUAUAGAACGAAACAUGUACCACUGCUAUCCGAAAGGGGGCAAAGGAAGACAACUUGAUGCAUGACCUCAUUAUCAAGGAGUUCACCAUUACCAAACUGGCGAACUCCAUGGGGAACUGGUAUUGGGAAACCUCGCCCUGGUGAGGCAAGAAAGCAUAUGCUUGGCCACUGGCAAUACUCGAAGGUAGAUACUGUAUAACAAGUAGACUGCUUAAAAUAUAAACAUCAUACAGAAGUAAAGGCUCAUGGUUACCCUUUUACAAAUCAUUGUGCAAAAUUAUAUACAGAAGACUUAGGUAUCCAUACACAGAGUUAGGCAG